rnacentral:rRNA from 1 species
UACGUAGGGUGCAAGCGUUGUCCGGAAUUAUUGGGCGUAAAGAGCUCGUAGGCGGUUCGUCGCGUCGGCUGUGAAAACCCGGAGCUCAACUCCGGGCCUGGAGUCGAUACGGGCGGACUUGAGUGCGGUAGGGGAGAUUGGAAUUCCUGGUGUAGCGGUGGAAUGCGCAGAUAUCAGGAGGAACACCGAUGGCGAAGGCAGAUCUCUGGGCCGUAACUGACGCUGAGGAGCGAAAGCAUGGGGAGCGAACAGG